UACAGAGGGUGCAAGCGUUAAUCGGAAUUACUGGGCGUAAAGCGCGCGUAGGCGGCUGUCUAAGUCGGAUGUGAAAUCCCCGGGCUUAACCUGGGAACUGCAUUCAAAACUGACGAGCUAGAGUAUGGUAGAGGGUGGUGGAAUUUCCUGUGUAGCGGUGAAAUGCGUAGAGAUCCGGAGGAACACCAAAGGCGAAGGCAGUGUCCUGGGGAGUACCUGACGCUCAGGUGCGAAAGCCAGGGGAGCGAACGGG
rnacentral:rRNA from 1 species